UCCACUUCAUUGCCCUACCCAUCUCCUACAAUGCCACCCAAUUAGCUCACCGUUUUUCUAUUGAAAUUUGCAGGUUGCAUGGAGUUCCAAAGUCUAUCAUCUUUGAUCGGGAUCCUCUAUUCCUCAGCCAUUUUUGGAAAGAACCGUUUCACCUAUAAGACACCAAAUUAAAAUUUAGCACAGCUUACCAUCCACAAACGGAUGGUCAAACAGAAGUUAUCAAUAGGAGUUUAGAAAUAUACCUGAUAUGUUUUACCAAUGACAAUCCGUGAACUUGGUACAAAUUUUUACAUCUAGCGGAGUUCGGGUACAAAUCAUCAUAUCACUUUGCCAUCAACACGACUCCUUUCCAGGUGCUAUAUGGACGACCUCCACCAACAAUCCCCGACUAUGUUCAAAGAAUAGCCACAUAGCCCACCCUUGACACCACGCUCCAAGAACGUACACAAAUGCUCCAUCAGUUGAAGGCCACCCUCGCGAAAAUGCAACAGCGCAUGGCACUAACAACAAAUAAGAGUCGACGCCAUCACACCUUCGACGUUGGCGAUUGGGUUCUCCUUCGUCGCCAAGCUUAUCGACAAAUGUCUCUUUUAGCAAGAGGUCAAAACAAGGUUUCCCGGAAAUUCUACGGUCCUUACCCCAUCAGCCGUCGCAUCGGC
rnacentral:lncRNA from 1 species